CUACUGAGGAAUUCCACGGAGUCAUGUCAGUCGAUCCUGAGCGACCAUUUCAAAAAUAUCUGAAACUUUGCACAGUUUUUCAAUUUCAUCUAAAUCGCCAUUUUUCGAUAUCAAACCUUCAUAUUCACUCACGACUAACUUUUCAAAAGGGUGUAUGCGAAAAUAGUUCAAAAAUAUUCUAAAAGCUGUACAGCAAAAACGGAUUGUUCGAUUGUUAUGAAUUUUUCAGCAAAGUUAGAUAACUAAAUGAUGAUUCCUUAGAAAAUAUACACUGUAAAAAAUUUCUUUUUUUACUAUAAAAAAAUAUGAUCUUUGUCACAAUAACUCAAAUAUCUCAGAACCCUAUCUUUUUACCAACGUCAAUUUUUUAGGGAAAAUGGCCCAUUAUAUCAGCUAUCUACCAUAAAAUUUUGGUGAUGGUAAACUGAUAAACAAAAAAGUUAUGACAUUUCAAACAUUUCACAAUUUUUACAUUUAGUAACAAAAAAAAAAAUUUUUUCUGUGUAAAUUAUUUCGAGAACUAUAUUUUGAUGCUGAUUUUAUUGUAAAGGCUACCGCAUGAAUUAAACAAGUUGUUUUCAUGAUAUUUUUGUUUGAUUAUUUAUAAUUACUAUAGUAUCUAUUUGAACCUUACACGCGAUCCAGUGUUGUGAUCAAAAAUAUUGAGAUUGUCAUACUUUUUAUUGUACGUGACUGGUGAAAAAAUCCCUUGAUAGUGUUGAAAAGCUGUUGAUCAUAAUAAAAAUGGAAUUAAACUUAUUUUGAAGACGAAAGCUGCAUAAUAAAAGUUUUAUAUAUACGCGUAUACGUCUAGUUGAUCUGCAAAAAAAUACCUCUUAGGGUCGAUUUCUUCACCCUGGCUUAGGCGUUAAGCCAGGGUUAACUAUAUGGGUAAGCCUGGCUUACGGGUUAAGCCGAGGUGAAGAAAUCGGCCCUUAGAGAACAGACUUUAUGAUCGGAAAAAUGCGAGUAACUUCAACAACAACAAAUGCAUGAGAGGUACAUACCACAGACAAACAGACAAAACGCCUAGAACAAUUUUCGUGAAAAUCCAUCGCCCAGUUCACACUACCACCACCUGGUGGAAAUGUUUCACGAAACACUGCGUUGUGCAAUAUCGUCAUCAGAAGGCGCUAGUGUGAAACGUCAAACGCAAAGAAAAACGAUGGGCACUCUUCUGGUUAUGAAAGCCACAACCAAGAUUCAAAAUGAUCGUUAAAGGCGUGGUCAAUGAAAAUUUCGUCAGUGUUACGUUUGUUUGUCUGUAUACUAGGGUGGCCCAAACUUAUAUGAAAAAGAAAAAUUUCGAAAAAUGCUAAGUCUUACCUCCUAAAUAAGUUGUUUUGGACUCCCAGAAGCUACGUUCAAAAUUUGAGUAAAAUCGGUUGAGCCUAAGGGGGCGCUCAAAACGCUUGAAGUUUAUAUGGGAAAACUUGGCCAAAUGUAUGUAGAAAUUUUAAGUUUUCUAAUUUUGCCGCUAGGUGGCGCUGUAAGCGUUCAAUAAUCAAACCCUUUGGUAUUAUUGUAGGUGACUAUAUGCCAAACAACUUUGUCGAAGACCGCAAAGUGAUCCGACGCCUGUGAAAAAAGUUAUACCCAAGGCAAAGUGAGGCAAAGUAGUGAGAUUUCAUUAUUGAUAUUAUUCUUUUACAUGUAUUGGAAAAACAACAAUAAAGUUUAUCCUCACUUUACCAAGGGUAUAACUUUUUUCACAGAAGUUGGAUCACUUUGCGGUCUUCGACAAAGUUGUUUGGCAUAUAGUCACCUACAAUAAGACCAAAGGGUUUGAUUAUUGAACGCUUACAGCGCCACCUGGCGGCAAAAUUCGAAAACUUAAAAUUUCUGCAUACAUUUGGCCAAGUUUUCCCAUACAAACUUCAAGCGUUUUGAGCGCCCCCUUAGGCUCAACCGAUUUUGCUCAAAUUUUGAACGUAGCUUCUGGGACUCCAAAACAACUGAUUUAGAAGGUAAGACUUGGCAUUUUUCGAAAUUUUUGUUUUUCAUAUAAGUGUGGGCCACCUUACUGUAUACAUACCAUGAAAAUGCUCACGAAAAAGCAAAAAAAUACUACCGCUAUGGAUAUUAAAAAUUUUAUAGUAAAUUUUUUCUUCGUCCAAGCAAACAACACCAAACUAGUCAGUUAAAACUAAUAAGUGAUUUUGUUUAUUAUAAUCUAACGAACAACAUGAACAGUCGCUUUCUCAAAGGUCUUCAACUCAACGCUCUCUUGUAGACCGCUUGUGAAAAAAAAUGUUCAAAAGAGUUACGAAAUCUCAUAGAUAAACUGAAAGAGACUGGUUAUGCCCAAAUUGAAUACAAAUUUACGCAUUUGCACGUCCUGCCGUCUAGACUUUGACAAACGAGCCAUCUGUAUAUCAUCGGUAAAGCAGGGCG